AAGAGAGGAGAUCAUACAGAUUUUAGUACACCUAUCCAAAAUAAGACACCUUAGCAACCCAUCACUGCACAAUUAUAAACAAAACUUCCUGAAUGUUUUCUCCCUAACAAAUUCCAAUUUGGUGCACCUUCUGUUGGUUCCCAAGAAUUAAUCUCAAUGAAUCGCCCAUUUAACGCCCUAGGUCCUCCAAUAACAAUGAGCUGAUCUCCACAUGCCCUAAAUGCUAGCCCCCAACCAUUCAUAGAGGUCGCCUGUUCCGGCAAUCUUCCUAUAGUAAUCCAUAAGUUUCUUUGCUUAUCAUAUUUCCAAACUUCAUUUUCAGCAUAAUAAGCAGCAUAUAACUCAUUCUUCACAACUGCUAAGAGUGGAGGUGCCUUAGCUAUUGCAGGAGCAUCAUUAGCUACAGCUCCUCUGUUACGUGCUGGGAACAUAUCAGGUACCUCUGUCCAAGACCUUGCUUUGAAAUCAUACACUUCACCACAAGUAAGUACAUUUAAAUUGCCAACACCAACCCCACCAAUUAUAUGGAACUUCCCAUCCAAGAAUACUCCAGAACACAAUUUUCUUGGUUUAUUCAUGCUUGGCAGAGUCUCCCAUGUUCCUGUUUCUGAAUUAUAAAGCUCAGCAGAGCUUAGUAUAUUGCCCCUUGAGUCACAACCGCCUGCUACAAUUGCAAUUUCCCCGAGGCUUCCAGAGCCAAAAAGGCACCUAGGUGUGUUUGUCUUCAUACCCGAUGACCAUGAGUUGGUCAGGAUGCUGUAUUUGUAGAUGACAUGAGACUCUAUUGCCUUUCCAAAUACAAGAAGUUCAGUACCAACUGCCAGUGAUUCCUUGUCAGAACACAUGAAGCAUUCAUUUGAUGUCAUCGCCGGCAAAUGCAUCCACCUAGAGCGAAUGGGAUCAAAGGCCUCCCA
rnacentral:misc_RNA from 1 species